AGUCUGCGCGGAUCGGGAAUGGGACUCGGGAGUGGACUACAAGUCCCAGCAGGGCGUGCGGCCACAGCUCGCAGGCUCGGAUCGGGAUUGGGACAUAAGGCGGCGUUCUGAAAAGGGGAGAGUGCUGCACCCAGUGUGCUUCGUGUGCAUCCUAGUGGGACUUGCGGUUUCUGGGGGCGAUGUCUGGCUAUAGGAAGGAAUUGGGCGCGAAUGAUUUGGGGAUAAGGGAAAAUACUUCACGACUUUCAAGACGGAAGGUGUAUUGGCUCUUAGAAUUUGAAGUUUCGUGCUCGGGCACCUGCCCCGAGCCCUGCCCCUCCACCAGAGUUGUUACCACGGUUUACUUGUCCCGAGCUCCCGCGGGAUAGGUGCCGCAUUCUAUUCACCUUGGUUGAACCGCCCCGGCUUCUGCACACUUACUUGGCACUUCAUUCAUGUUGAAUGUAUCCUGCUUUCUCCCACCCCAUUUACUCGUUUCAUUACCUAAAUUUUUUCAACAAA